rnacentral:rRNA from 1 species
GGCGGCCGUAGCGCGGUGGUCCCACCUGACCCCAUGCCGAACUCAGAAGUGAAACGCCGUAGCGCCGAUGGUAGUGUGGGGGUCUCCCCAUGCGAGAGUAGGGAACUGCCA